GACGUUGGCAUUUCUGUAGUUUUGCAAUACUUAUGAAAUUUAAAAGUGGAAUCUCGGUGAAGUUUUCGCGCUGUCUGCUGAUUGGCUAGAAGUAAACCAACCACCACUUGCCUGUGGGACAAUUGGUACGACUGUCCCAACCAUGGGGGUGAAAGUGGGAUACGCGCAUUGGCAACACGAGAGUAUAGGCGAGGGGGGUUUUGCACUCCCGGGGAGAUGAAAAGGGACGACCAAUGACGACUGCUUAUUUUAAAACAAGCGCGUAUUUAUUAGGGAUUUCAUUAAAUUAUAUUUUUUGACGUAACAAUGACAUCUACGCUUGCGCGCAGAUCGCACCGAAAAUAUCGCGCCAAAAGUGUUGUUUUGUCACUCAUCGUUCAACGUGUUACCGGAAGUAUGUAGCAAUUAUUUGUUUAAUCGUUUAAUCAAAGCAAAAAUUCUGAUUACAGUUCGUUAGUGAGUCAAUUCCUGGUGUUGAGCGCCGACCAAAAAGAUAAGUAUCUCUUAUUUUAUUAAUAUAACCUCAUCUUUUUGAUUGGUGUUUCUUUCUAUUUUAAAGGCAUUGGUCUGGAGUGACGGAUUUUUGAUUUCUACUACUCAACUGAACUUUAGUCAUGGCUGGUUAUCGCAAAUAUUCCUGCAAAUACCCCGGAUGCACCAGUGAUUAUGUUCCCAACAAAGGACAGUCCAAUAAGCAUUUCUUCACCUUCCCUAAGAAUCCAAAGCUUCAAGAAUUGUGGAGGAAUGCCUGCAAAAUUGAGGAUCCUAAUUUACUUUUAAGUUUCUUAUUUGCGCUCGAGUGUGUCAGUGCACUGCAUGUACCUCCUCGUGGUCGUAGCGUGGGCAACUGUUUGCUGACAGACAAGGUAAAAGUCAUUGCAAAGCAGACCUUAUUUUGUUUUAAGUCUCGAGCAGACAGGCAAAACAUGCCAACACUGACUGAUUUAAUUUUUUUAUAAUUUUUGUAUAAUUAAGAAAUAAUACAAUACUUUAAUUUUUUGAAAAAUUUAAUUUGUUAUGUUACUCAAGUGUACAAUAAAAAUGUUAACAAAA